rnacentral:rRNA from 1 species
UACGUGAGGGGCUAGCGUUGUCCGGAUUUAUUGGGCGUAAAGAGCGUGUAGGCGGCCAGGUAGGUCAGCUGUGAAAACUCGAGGCUCAACCUCGGGACGUCGGUUGAAACCACCUGGCUAGAGUCCGGAAGAGGAGAGUGGAAUUCUUGGUGUAGCGGUGAAAUGGCGUAGAUAUCAAGAGGAACACCUGAGGUGAAGACGGGUUGCUGGGCUGACACUGACGCUGGAAGCGCGAAAGCUAGGGGAGCAAACGGG